rnacentral:rRNA from 1 species
CGCGUAGGCGGUUCGCUAAGUUGAAUGUGAAAACUCUGGGUUUAACCCAGAGCCUGCAUUCAAUACUGGCGGGCUAGAGUUCUGGAGGGGAUAGCGGAAUUCCUGGUGUAGCGGUGAAAUGCGUAGAUAUCAGGAGGAACACCGGUGGCGAAGGCGGCUAUCUGGACAGAGUCUGACGCUGAGGCGCGAAAGCUAGGGGAGCAAACA